rnacentral:lncRNA from 1 species
GGAAGGAACAUAUUAUUUUCCAGCUCAAAGACGCUCUGGGCAGAGAAGUGACUGGGCCUUCAUAAGGUACUCAAUGGAGGCCAACCUGCAAUCAGGAGGGUGAUGCCUGAUCCUAACCAGUGAGUACUGGGAUGGUCAGGAGCACUCAAAUCUGUGUUAGCUCAGGUACAUCAGAAAGUGGAGCCUGAGGCAAGGGUUAAGUGCAGACCCUUCACUCAGGGGCUGCAAGCCCAGGGCAAUGACAGUGUAGAGAAAAUGGGAAGGGAGACAGGGACCAAUGUGAUAUGCAGGGUCAAAAUGCUGGCCAUCUCCUUGCAACAAGCAACAGAGCACAGCCUGAAGUGCAGCAGACAGGGCUUCCUAGCACUCAGGACUUCUCUAGAAAGCUUGCAAGGCUUGCACAGCACAAAGCCAUCCACAAGAGAAAGAGGAGGGAAAACGUAUCCUCUUAGGUCCCCUCCAGACUCUCAUUUACCACUGGCUAAGUGUCCCCCAUAAGAAGGUAACUCCCCUGCAUUCUCAGGUUGCAUUGGCGUGGUCCUUUAGCAGUCACACAGAAAUCCCAGUCCCAGGGGUCAAUAUGUGACAUCUUAGCUGAGUCCAGGGCAUAAGAGGCAACUCAGUGUAGGUGGAGCCAAGAGUCCCAAACAGACCUGAGAGGCACGCAAGUCUGUGUCCAAUCCAGGAAUCAGUGAUUCACCCCUGGGGUCCUGGCAGUGUAAGAAGAGCCUGGAGGGAAAGCAGCUCCCAUUCCAGAAUGCCUCCCGAGGGUAGCAGCAUUUUCACAUCUGCACUUUUCUCAUGAAAGGGCGAGGAAGAAGAAACAGAACUCUCUGCGGAAACACCCACCAUGCCCCAUCCAGUGUUGUGUGGCUGCCUUGCACCAUUCUCUCCUUUGAGAGAAUUAAAAUUCUCUUUGAAAUUAAAAAUGAUGUUUACUGGAAACUUCUGCUGUUCAGAAGCAAAACAUGUCCAUUGUUGAAAAACCAAAAACCUC